UGAGUUUGAACUAUUCUGGAAAGUUUGGAAAAUCUGUUAUUCUGUUACUAAGAUUAUUUGGGACAAAGAGAAGACUGAUACAUUGGCUUAUUGAAAAUUGUGAUAAAUUGUAAGAUAUCACUUUAAACCCCUUAGAUUUUAAAUUCCUCAUCCUGCUUGCAGACUAGCAGGCUAUGUGGUGUCUGGGCCUCGCACUACAGCAGUCAGCUUGCAAAGAGGUAGACCACGUUAAGGUGGGAUAAAGUGCUAGGGCACAUCCUUAUGCACUGUUGAACAGCUACUGUGGUCCACCCCAGAAGUGGCUGCAUUUCAGUGUUGGGUUAAGUAGCCAGAGGUGAUGGCUCUGGAUUUAACAGACUUGAGCAUUUACCCAGCCCUGCUAGUUCUCAGUGCAAAAGGAAGGGGAUUUUAAAUACCCCAGAAAGACUUCAGCAAACUAGAGGGAAUUCAGAGAAGAAAAACUAGAAUGAUUGGCAAUCUGGAGGGACUGCUUUAAGGGGACCAAUUAAGAAAGCUAAGUCUGUAUCACUUAUUUGACUGAUGAUGUGCUUACACUAGGCUCACAAACUGUAUCUGCUGUUUCACUAGGCUAUGACUCGCAGUCCAAAGAAUGAUUGCAACAUCUGAAACAAUUUCCAGUGCUUACCAAAAAUCCUACACUAACUACAAUCUAAAUUAAAGAGCAAUUAUGACCAGAGAGCUGCCCGUAAAAUGCAGCUGGAUAAAUAACUUGUAGUGGAUGGCUUAUUAGACAAGUUUAACCUCUUUUUCUGUUCACAAAUUAUCCAUGAGCAACUUACAAUUUUAAAGAUGUAUUUGUUAUUCCAAAUGAAUUGUUUACCAGAGGCAGGGGAUGGUGAUGAUGGCCAGGUCCUAUUCCAUCUGCACACGUGUGCCCUCAGCAGAAAUGCCAGCUAAAGAUGAAUUUAAGAGUUGUUAUUGCUGACGACAGUGUGUGAAGCAGAAAGAACACAGCCGGAUUCUCAAACACCAACCUCAGCUGGCAGUGCUUGUGCCACUCACAUUGAGAGUGGGACUUUGUCCCCCUCGAGUGGCUGGUCCAAAUAAGAGGUUAAGAGUCUACUACAGCUAGAAAGCAGAGGAAUUACUACUUUAGCUCCUAUGGCAGAUGACCAUCAUUUAGUGCAGAAGGUCUCACGUACAAAACCUGUUGAUGACUCACAUGGGGUCAUUAUACUGGCAAUGAGGAAAAAAAUCAAACAAAUUUUCUGUGACUUGUAGAGUAUGCCGAUUUAAACGUCCCCUGGUUCUAGCUGUAAUUUGCUAAAGUCAGUGAGACAUCUUCUUCCCAUGUGGGUUUUUCCCAGCAGGCAGGAGUUUCAACACACAAAGUUUCUUGCUCUUUAUUCCAUGGGGUGGAGAGUUCCCCUCUGUUCAGCAUGUCAGCCAAUCUGACAUCACACUUAAUUGCUGAUUCAGUUUCCCCUUCUUGGGCUUCACAAUGACUGCACCCAGAUUUUUGAAAGUCAAACUCCUCCCCCCUUUCUUUUAGUCUGGUUUAUUAAAACAAUAACAUCACACGUCAAAUGUUAACGUAAAUCAAAACCAGCAUUUCCCCAACUCUACAGUUUCUUCAGCCCCUUGCUGUGCUCAGCCAUUCUUAUCCAACAACCAGGUCCUGAUGUCUUAGUGCUUCCUCAAGCCUCUUCCUUCUGCUUCUGCCCCUCACUGCACGUACCUCUAGCCCGGCUUCUCCAUCUGGCUGGUGUGGAGAGGUGCAGCCCCACUACAGGCUAAGAGGGACAAAUUCCAGCCUGCAUGCACAAGGGGUGAAAAAAGUCACAUCCCAAGAGAUGAUUCAUGUCCAGCCAGAGGCACAGGAUGUAAUAAAUGCAUAAAAUAUGGACAUUUUGCAGCUGUUUGCUGUACCAAUGCCAUCAGGGAGUUGACUCAUAUUACAGACAAUCAAGAGCCAUUGUUUCUGGGAUCUAUCACUUGUGAUGACAUAGAGCAUAGAGCCUGCUUGCAAAGGGAAAUCAAAUAGUCAUGGCAAGACCAUUGACUUUAAAAUUGACUCAGGAGGUAAAGUCACCAUAAUCUCAGAAGGGAUUUACAAUCACUCUCAGUCUUUCCCAUAGUUAAAGUUACCUGACACAGUUCUGAAUUUCUCUGGAGCUAUUCGGAACUGCAUGGGCCAGUUCACAGAAACAACUUACAGAGACAAAAAUAUUGCAUUUGGAGCUCAUGUGAUCAAAGAAUCAAAGACCAGCAACCUUCUCAGCUGCAGCAUGGUAGCCAUGAUGGGACUAGUAAAAAGGUGGAAGAACUCAAUGGAGGAUUUGAUGAUAUUGGGCUUUUGAAAGGAGAUUGAGUACAAAUCAACUUAAGAGACAAUGUUGUUCCAUACACUGUACAAACAUUUCUACCAGAGAGACCGUGAAAGAGACUACCUGCAGAUUAAUGCAAAUUCAGAGGACAUCAUUAUCUGGUCCUCAUGAACUAUUUUCCCAGGUAUAUAGAAAUAAUCCCCUUGAAAGACAUAACAUGUCACAAUAUUAUCAAGAAACUGAAGUGAACUUUUGCUCACUUUGGUAUUCCAGAUCAACUAGUGAUGGACAACAGACCAAAAUUCACUGCAGCAGAAUUUUAAGCCAUUCUGAAGGAAACAUGAUUUUGAUCAUAUUACUAGCAGCCCAUAUUACCCACAUCUGAAUUGAGAGGCUGAGAGACCUAUACAGACAGACAAGAAAAUCCAACAGCAGGAUGAUCCAUUCCUUGCUCUUCUGAGUUAUAGAUCAACACCAAUAGUGGCUACUGGAUAUAGUCCAGCACAACUCCUGAUGGGAAGACAACUCAGAACUACUGUUACUAUUUUGGAAAAGAAUCUGUUUCCAAAGUGACCAGACAUGAAGAGAGUAGCCAAAUCAGAUAAAACGUCUAAAAGAGACUUCACUCAGUAGAACUGCUGGGUCUAGAACCUGGUGACCAUAUUCUUGUCAAAUUGGAUGGAGAAAAGGGAUUUACAGCUCCAGAUGUUGUAAAGAAAAAGAAUUCAACACCCAGAUCAUAUGUGAUUGAGAGCAACAGUGGAGAGUUAAACAGAAAACAUCAACAUCUACAGUUUGUUCCUCAGACAGAACAAUCAACAGAGCAAACUCUACAAAUAGCAAAUGAAGAAGAAAAAGAUGACUCAAGGAUUCUAGAUCAACCACAGCCAGUCGUUGCAACUAAUGGACAGCCAGAUGACCAGGUUGUUACAUGCUCAGGUUAUCUAAUUAGAAAACCAGUAUGAUUCUGAGAUGCUUAAGAGACUGAGCCAUACUGAACUUUAAAGACAUUGUGAUAGUGUAAAUUUGAUAAAUGGAAGGAAUGUAGAACUUAAAGGGGCAGAUGUAAAGGAAUAUUAAAGUGAAUUAUACUAUUCAGCCACUAGGUGGUGCUAUAUGUAACAAACUUUAAGCUAA